rnacentral:misc_RNA from 1 species
AAAAAGGGUUAUUGCAGCUUUGUUAACUGAGAAAUGAGGGUUGAGUUUGGUAGAAAUGAAGUCAAAAGGAGAUUGAGAGCCUUGAAGCUCUUCUGAAGAGACCAUUUCUUUCUGAAGAUUACAAGUGGGAGAGGAUACAAAAGCAACAAUAGCACCAUUUGAAUGAUAUGGGUAAACUUUAAACAAAAUUGGUUUAUUGAUAUAAGGAUGACUGCUAAGGGCAGAGAUUGUGAUCCAAGAAUGAUGAAGUAGAUCUGAGCUCAGAAACAAAUUUGCCAAUUCUUGGCCACUACUGAACAAGGAAACUUGGCUCAUCUUGGCCUUUGGAGAAUUUGAGA